rnacentral:rRNA from 1 species
UACGAAGGGGGCUAGCGUUGUUCGGAAUUACUGGGCGUAAAGCGCGCGUAGGCGGAUCGGUCAGUUAGGGGUGAAAUCCCGGGGCUCAACCCCGGAACUGCCUCUAAUACUGCCGAUCUAGAGUUCGAGAGAGGUGAGUGGAAUUCCGAGUGUAGAGGUGAAAUUCGUAGAUAUUCGGAGGAACACCAGUGGCGAAGGCGGCUCACUGGCUCGAUACUGACGCUGAGGUGCGAAAGCGUGGGGAGCAAACAGG